rnacentral:tRNA from 1 species
GGAGAGGUGAGCUCAAGUGGUAGAGUGUGUGCUUGGCACGCAUGAGGUCCUGGGUUCAAUCCCCAGUACCUCCU